UGUUUGACACUUGUUCAAAUGCCAACAGUUUAUACUAACCAUUGUCAUCUGUCAUAAUCAUGAUAUUAUAAACGUACACGUUUAGGGUACAAAUUUUAGUAUUUUACUGUGCACGAAACUCACUAUACGACAUCUGAAGAUAACUAUUUAGAACUGCUUUUUAGUUUGAAAUUAUGACACUUGUUGAACUAUCAGCUGAUCAUAAUAAACAUGUAUCUUAACAUUUUGUACAUUUUCAGAAUACAGAGGUUUCUCGACACUCACUAAGCAACAUUGAAUGGUAAUUUAGUAAUCCUUUGUAGUUUCAAAAAACAUGAUACUUGUUAAACUAUCAGCUGGUCAUAUUUAGCAUGCAUCAUAACAUUUCGUGCAUUUUCAAAGUACAGAUGUUUCUCCAACCACACUACGCAACAUCUGAUGGUUAUUUAGUACUGCAUUAAUGUGGUCUUAAAAAAAAUGACAUUUGUUCAACUACCAACUGUUCAUACUAAACAUUUAUAUUAACAUUAAGUGCAUUUUUCAAAGUACUUUGUAGAAUAUUUGCUAUUAAGUCCUCUAUUGACGUAUAAUCUACUCUGUUUA
rnacentral:lncRNA from 1 species